rnacentral:rRNA from 1 species
UACGAAGGGGGCUAGCGUUGUUCGGAAUUACUGGGCGUAAAGCGCACGUAGGCGGAUAUUUAAGUCAGGGGUGAAAUCCCAGAGCUCAACUCUGGAACUGCCUUUGAUACUGGGUAUCUUGAGUAUGGAAGAGGUGAGUGGAAUUCCGAGUGUAGAGGUGAAAUUCGUAGAUAUUCGGAGGAACACCAGUGGCGAAGGCGGCUCACUGGUCCAUUACUGACGCUGAGACACGAAAGCGUGGGUAGCAAACAGGA